rnacentral:rRNA from 1 species
AUUGAACGCUGGCGGCAGGCUUAACACAUGCAAGUAGAACGAGUGGCGGACGGGUGAGUAAUGCUUGGGAAUCUAGCUUAUGGAGGGGGAUAACUACGGGAAACUGUAGCUAAUACCGCGUACCAUAGGAUGAGCCCAAGUGGGAUUAGGUAGUUGGUGAGGUAAAGGCUCACCAAGCCGACGAUCUCUAGCUGGUCUGAGAGGAUGACCGGCCACACUGUGAGUGAGACACGGCCCAGACUCCUACGGAAGGCAGCAGUGGGGAAUAUUGCGCCAUGUGGGAAACCUGAGGCAGCCAUGCCGGGGGAAUGAAGAAGGCCUUCGGGUUGUAAAGUUCUUUUGGUAGCGAGGCGUUGACUACAGAAGAAGCACCGGCUAACUCCGUGCCAGCAGCCGCGGUAAUUC